rnacentral:lncRNA from 1 species
UGGAUUGGGCAUGUUCGUUGCGAAAAACGAAGAAAUGGUUCCGGUGGCAAAAACUGAGUUUCUAUGCACCCGAUACCUAUUUUCGGAAUGAGUGACGUGCGGCAACGAAAUUGCGCAAAACCAACCCAAACAUGAGUUUUGGACCUAAAGUAGUGGAUUGGGCAUGUUCGUUGCGAAAAACGAAGAAAUGGUUCCGGUGGCAAAAACUCGUGCUUUGUAUGCACCCGAUACCCGUUUUCGGAAUGGGUGACGUGCGGCAACGAAAUUGCGCGAAACCACCCAAACAUGAGUUUUGGACCUAAAUUAGUGGAUUGGGCAUGUUCGUUGCGAAAAUCAAGAAAUGGUUCGGUGCAAAAACUCGUGCUUUGUAUGCCCCUGAUACCCGUUUUCGGAAUGGGUGACGUGGCAACGAAAUUGUGCGAAACACCCAAACAUGAGUUUUGGACCUAAAGUAGUGGAUUGGGCAUGUUCGUGCGAAAAACGAAGAAAUGGUUCCGGUGGCAAAAACUCGUGCUUUGUAUGCACCCGAUACCCGUUUUCAGAAUGGGUGACGUGCGGCAACGAAAUUGGCGAAACACCCAAACAUGAGUUUUGGACCUAAAGUAGUGGAUUGGGCAUGUUCGUUGCGAAAAAUGAAGAAAUGGUUCAGGUGGCAAAAACUCGUGCUUUGUAUGCACCCGAUACCCGUUUUCGGAAUGGGUGACGUGAGGCAACGAAAUUGCGCGAAACAACCCAAACAUGAGUUUUGGACCUAAAGUAGUGGAUUGGGCAUGUUCGUUGCAAAAACAAAGAAAUGGUUCCGGUGGCAAAAACUCGUGCUUUGUAUGCACCCCGAUACCCGUUUUCGGAAUGGGUGACGUGCGGCAACGAAAUUGGCGAAACACCCAAACAUGAGUUUUGGACCUAAAGUAGUGGAUUGGGCAUGUUCGUUGGAAAAACGAAGAAAUGGUUCCGGUGGCAAAAACUCGUGCUUUGUAUGCACCCGAUACCCGUUUUCGGAAUGGGUGACGUGCGGCAACGAAAUUGCGCGAAACCACCCAAACAUGAGUUUUGGACCUAAAGUAGUGGAGUGGGCAUGUUCGUUGCGAAAAACGAAGAAAUGGUUCCGGUGGCAAAAACUCGUGCUUUGUAUGCACCCGAUACCCGUUUUCGGAAUGGGUGACGUGCGGCAACGAAAUUGCGUGAAACACCCCAAACAUGAGUUUUGGACCUAAAGUAGUGGAUUGGGCAUGUUCGUUGCGAAAAACGAAGAAAUGGUUCCGGUGGCAAAAACUCGUGUUUGUAUGCACCCGAUACCCGUUUUCGGAAUGGGUGACGUGCGGCAACGAAAUUGCGCAAACAACCCAAACAUGAGUUUUGGACCUAAAGUAGUGGAUUGGGCAUGUUCGUUGCGAAAAACGAAGAAAUGGUUCCGGUGGCAAAAACUUGUGCUUUGUAUGCACCCUGAUACCCGUUUUCGGAAUGGGUGACGUGCGGCAACGAAAUUGCGCGAAACCACCCAAACAUGAGUUUUGGACCUAAAGUAGUGGAUUGGGCAUGUUCGUUGCGAAAAACAAGAAAUGGUUCGGUGAAAAACUCGUGCUUUGUAUGCACCCUGAUACCCGUUUUCGGAAUGGGUGACGUCGGCAACGAAAUUGCGCGAAACCACCCAAACAUGAGUUUUGGACCUAAAGUAGUGGAUUGGGCAUGUUCGUUGCGAAAAACGAAGAAAUGGUUCCGGUGGCAAAAACUCGUGCUUUGUAUGCACCCGAUACCCGUUUUCGGAAUGGGUGACGUGCGGCAACGAAAUUGCGCGAAACACCCAAACAUGAGUUUUGGACCUAAAGUAGUGGAUUGGGCAUGUUCGUUGCGAAAAACGAAGAAAUGGUUCGGUGGCAAAAACUCGUGCUUUGUAUGCACCCCGAUACCCGUUUUCGGAAUGGGUGACGUGAGGCAACGAAAUUGCGCGAAACAACCCAAACAUGAGUUUUGGACCUAAAGUAGUGGAUUGGGCAUGUUCGUUGCAAAAACAAGAAAUGGUUCCGGUGGCAAAAACUCGUGCUUUGUAUGCACCCGAUACCCGUUUUCGGAAUGGGUGACGUGCGGCAAGAAAUUGGCGAAACACCCAAACAUGAGUUUUGGACCUAAAGUAGUGGAUUGGGCAUGUUCGUUGCGAAAAACGAAGAAAUGGUUCCGGUGGCAAAAACUCGGCUUUGUAUGCACACCGAUACCCUUUUCGGAAUGGGUGACGUGCGGCAACGAAAUUGCGCGAAACACCCAAACAUGAGUUUUGGACCUAAAGUAGUGGAUUGGGCAUGUUCGUUGCGAAAAACGAAGAAAUGGUUCCGGUGGCAAAAACUCGUGCUUUGUAUGCACCCGAUACCCUUUUCGGAAUGGGUGACGUGCGGCAACGAAAUUGCGCGAAACACCCAAACAUGAGUUUUGGACCUAAAGUAGUGGAUUGGGCAUGUUCGUUGCGAAAAACGAAGAAAUGGUUCCGGUGGCAAAAACUCGUGCUUUGUAUGCACCCGAUACCCGUUUUCGGAAUGGGUGACGUGCGGCAACGAAAUUGCGCAAAACAACCCAAACAUGAGUUUUGGACCUAAAGUAGUGGAUUGGGCAUGUUCGUUGCGAAAAACGAAGAAAUGGUUCCGGUGGCAAAAACUGUGCUUUGUAUGCACCCGAUACCCGUUUUCGGAAUGGGUGACGUGCGGCAACGAAAUUGCGCGAAACAACCCAAACAUGAGUUUUGGACCUAAAGUAGUGGAUUGGGCAUGUUCGUGCGAAAAACGAAGAAAUGGUUCGGUGGCAAAAACUCGUGCUUUGUAUGCGCCCUGAUACCCGUUUUCGGAAUGGGUGACGUGCGGCAACGAAAUUGUGCGAAACACCCAAACAUGAGUUUUGGACCUAAAGUAGUGGAUUGGGCAUGUUCGUUGCGAAAAACGAAGAAAUGGUUCCGGUGGCAAAAACUCGUGCUUUGUAUGCACCCCGAUACCCGUUUUCGGAAUGGGUGACGUGCGGCAACGAAAUUGGCGAAACACCCAAACAUGAGUUUUGGACCUAAAGUAGUGGAUUGGGCAUGUUCGUUGCGAAAAACGAAGAAAUGGUUCAGGUGGCAAAAACUCGUGCUUUGUAUGCACCCGAUACCCGUUUUCGGAAUGGGUGACGUGCGGCAACGAAAUUGCGCGAAAUCCACCCAAACAUGAGUUUUGGACCUAAAGUAGUGGAUUGGGCAUGUUCGUUGCGAAAAACGAAGAAAUGGUUCCGGUGGCAAAAACUCGUGCUUUGUAUGCACCCGAUACCCGUUUUCGGAAUGGGUGACGUGCGGCAACGAAAUUGCGCGAAACACCCAAACAUGAGUUUUGGACCUAAAGUAGUGGAUUGGGCAUGUUCGUUGCGAAAAACGAAGAAAUGGUUCGGUGGUAAAAACUCGUGCUUUGUAUGCACCCGAUACCCUUUUCGGAAGGGUGACGUGAGGCAACGAAAUUGCGCGAAACAACCCAAACAUGAGUUUUGGACCUAAAGUAGUGGAUUGGGCAUGUUCGUUGCGAAAAACGAAGAAAUGGUUCCGGUGGCAAAAACUCGUGCUUUGUAUGCACCCGAUACCCGUUUUCGGAAUGGGUGACGUGCGGCAACGAAAUUGCGCGAAACACCCAAACAUGAGUUUUGGACCUAAAGUAGUGGAUUGGGCAUGUUCGUUGCGAAAAACGAAGAAAUGGUUCCGGUGGCAAAAACUCGUGCUUUGUAUGCACCCGAUACCCGUUUUCGGAAUGGGUGACGUGCGGCAACGAAAUUGCGCGAAACACCCAAACAUGAGUUUUGGACCUAAAGUAGUGGAUUGGGCAUGUUCGUUGCGAAAAACGAAGAAAUGGUUCCGGUGGCAAAAACUCGUGCUUUGUAUGCACCCGAUACCCGUUUUCGGAAUGGGUGACGUGCGGCAACGAAAUUGCGCGAAACAACCCAAACAUGAGUUUUGGACCUAAAGUAGUGGAUUGGGCAUGUUCGUUGCGAAAAACGAAGAAAUGGUUCCGGUGGCAAAAACUCGUGCUUUGUAUGCACCCGAUACCCGUUUUCGGAAUGGGUGACGUGCGGCAACGAAAUUGCGCGAAACAACCCAAACAUGAGUUUUGGACCUAAAGUAGUGGAUUGGGCAUGUUCGUUGCGAAAAACGAAGAAAUGGUUCCGGUGGCAAAAACUCGUGCUUUGUAUGCACCCGAUACCCGUUUUCGGAAUGGGUGACGUGCGGCAACGAAAUUGCGCGAAACACCCAAACAUGAGUUUUGGACCUAAAGUAGUGGAUUGGGCAUGUUCGUUGCGAAAAACGAAGAAAUGGUUCCGGUGGCAAAAACUCGUGCUUUGUAUGCACCCGAUACCCGUUUUCGGAAUGGGUGACGUGCGGCAACGAAAUUGCGCGAAACAACCCAAACAUGAGUUUUGGACCUAAAGUAGUGGAUUGGGCAUGUUCGUUGCGAAAAACGAAGAAAUGGUUCCGGUGGCAAAAACUCGUGCUUUGUAUGCACCCGAUACCCGUUUUCGGAAUGGGUGACGUGCGGCAACGAAAUUGCGCGAAACAACCCAAACAUGAGUUUUGGACCUAAAGUAGUGGAUUGGGCAUGUUCGUUGCGAAAAACGAAGAAAUGGUUCCGGUGGCAAAAACUCGUGCUUUGUAUGCACCCGAUACCCGUUUUCGGAAUGGGUGACGUGCGGCAACGAAAUUGCGCGAAACAACCCAAACAUGAGUUUUGGACCUAAAGUAGUGGAUUGGGCAUGUUCGUUGCGAAAAACGAAGAAAUGGUUCCGGUGGCAAAAACUCGUGCUUUGUAUGCACCCGAUACCCGUUUUCGGAAUGGGUGACGUGCGGCAACGAAAUUGCGCGAAACAACCCAAACAUGAGUUUUGGACCUAAAGUAGUGGAUUGGGCAUGUUCGUUGCGAAAAACGAAGAAAUGGUUCCGGUGGCAAAAACUCGUGCUUUGUAUGCACCCGAUACCCGUUUUCGGAAUGGGUGACGUGCGGCAACGAAAUUGCGCGAAACAACCCAAACAUGAGUUUUGGACCUAAAGUAGUGGAUUGGGCAUGUUCGUUGCGAAAAACGAAGAAAUGGUUCCGGUGGCAAAAACUCGUGCUUUGUAUGCACCCGAUACCCGUUUUCGGAAUGGGUGACGUGCGGCAACGAAAUUGCGCGAAACAACCCAAACAUGAGUUUUGGACCUAAAGUAGUGGAUUGGGCAUGUUCGUUGCGAAAAACGAAGAAAUGGUUCCGGUGGCAAAAACUCGUGCUUUGUAUGCACCCGAUACCCGUUUUCGGAAUGGGUGACGUGCGGCAACGAAAUUGCGCGAAACAACCCAAACAUGAGUUUUGGACCUAAAGUAGUGGAUUGGGCAUGUUCGUUGCGAAAAACGAAGAAAUGGUUCCGGUGGCAAAAACUCGUGCUUUGUAUGCACCCGAUACCCGUUUUCGGAAUGGGUGACGUGCGGCAACGAAAUUGCGCGAAACAACCCAAACAUGAGUUUUGGACCUAAAGUAGUGGAUUGGGCAUGUUCGUUGCGAAAAACGAAGAAAUGGUUCCGGUGGCAAAAACUCGUGCUUUGUAUGCACCCGAUACCCGUUUUCGGAAUGGGUGACGUGCGGCAACGAAAUUGCGCGAAACACCCAAACAUGAGUUUUGGACCUAAAGUAGUGGAUUGGGCAUGUUCGUUGCGAAAAACGAAGAAAUGGUUCCGGUGGCAAAAACUCGUGCUUUGUAUGCACCCGAUACCCGUUUUCGGAAUGGGUGACGUGCGGCAACGAAAUUGCGCGAAACACCCAAACAUGAGUUUUGGACCUAAAGUAGUGGAUUGGGCAUGUUCGUUGCGAAAAACGAAGAAAUGGUUCCGGUGGCAAAAACUCGUGCUUUGUAUGCACCCGAUACCCGUUUUCGGAAUGGGUGACGUGCGGCAACGAAAUUGCGCGAAACAACCCAAACAUGAGUUUUGGACCUAAAGUAGUGGAUUGGGCAUGUUCGUUGCGAAAAACGAAGAAAUGGUUCCGGUGGCAAAAACUCGUGCUUUGUAUGCACCCGAUACCCGUUUUCGGAAUGGGUGACGUGCGGCAACGAAAUUGCGCGAAACAACCCAAACAUGAGUUUUGGACCUAAAGUAGUGGAUUGGGCAUGUUCGUUGCGAAAAACGAAGAAAUGGUUCCGGUGGCAAAAACUCGUGCUUUGUAUGCACCCGAUACCCGUUUUCGGAAUGGGUGACGUGCGGCAACGAAAUUGCGCGAAACAACCCAAACAUGAGUUUUGGACCUAAAGUAGUGGAUUGGGCAUGUUCGUUGCGAAAAACGAAGAAAUGGUUCCGGUGGCAAAAACUCGUGCUUUGUAUGCACCCGAUACCCGUUUUCGGAAUGGGUGACGUGCGGCAACGAAAUUGCGCGAAACAACCCAAACAUGAGUUUUGGACCUAAAGUAGUGGAUUGGGCAUGUUCGUUGCGAAAAACGAAGAAAUGGUUCCGGUGGCAAAAACUCGUGCUUUGUAUGCACCCGAUACCCGUUUUCGGAAUGGGUGACGUGCGGCAACGAAAUUGCGCGAAACAACCCAAACAUGAGUUUUGGACCUAAAGUAGUGGAUUGGGCAUGUUCGUUGCGAAAAACGAAGAAAUGGUUCCGGUGGCAAAAACUCGUGCUUUGUAUGCACCCGAUACCCGUUUUCGGAAUGGGUGACGUGCGGCAACGAAAUUGCGCGAAACAACCCAAACAUGAGUUUUGGACCUAAAGUAGUGGAUUGGGCAUGUUCGUUGCGAAAAACGAAGAAAUGGUUCCGGUGGCAAAAACUCGUGCUUUGUAUGCACCCGAUACCCGUUUUCGGAAUGGGUGACGUGCGGCAACGAAAUUGCGCGAAACAACCCAAACAUGAGUUUUGGACCUAAAGUAGUGGAUUGGGCAUGUUCGUUGCGAAAAACGAAGAAAUGGUUCCGGUGGCAAAAACUCGUGCUUUGUAUGCACCCGAUACCCGUUUUCGGAAUGGGUGACGUGCGGCAACGAAAUUGCGCGAAAUCAACCCAAACAUGAGUUUUGGACCUAAAGUAGUGGAUUGGGCAUGUUCGUUGCGAAAAACGAAGAAAUGGUUCCGGUGGCAAAAACUCGUGCUUUGUAUGCACCCGAUACCCGUUUUCGGAAUGGGUGACGUGCGGCAACGAAAUUGCGCGAAAUCAACCCAAACAUGAGUUUUGGACCUAAAGUAGUGGAUUGGGCAUGUUCGUUGCGAAAAACGAAGAAAUGGUUCCGGUGGCAAAAACUCGUGCUUUGUAUGCACCCGAUACCCGUUUUCGGAAUGGGUGACGUGCGGCAACGAAAUUGCGCGAAAUCAACCCAAACAUGAGUUUUGGACCUAAAGUAGUGGAUUGGGCAUGUUCGUUGCGAAAAACGAAGAAAUGGUUCCGGUGGCAAAAACUCGUGCUUUGUAUGCACCCGAUACCCGUUUUCGGAAUGGGUGACGUGCGGCAACGAAAUUGCGCGAAACAACCCAAACAUGAGUUUUGGACCUAAAGUAGUGGAUUGGGCAUGUUCGUUGCGAAAAACGAAGAAAUGGUUCCGGUGGCAAAAACUCGUGCUUUGUAUGCACCCGAUACCCGUUUUCGGAAUGGGUGACGUGCGGCAACGAAAUUGCGCGAAACAACCCAAACAUGAGUUUUGGACCUAAAGUAGUGGAUUGGGCAUGUUCGUUGCGAAAAACGAAGAAAUGGUUCCGGUGGCAAAAACUCGUGCUUUGUAUGCACCCGAUACCCGUUUUCGGAAUGGGUGACGUGCGGCAACGAAAUUGCGCGAAAUCAACCCAAACAUGAGUUUUGGACCUAAAGUAGUGGAUUGGGCAUGUUCGUUGCGAAAAACGAAGAAAUGGUUCCGGUGGCAAAAACUCGUGCUUUGUAUGCACCCCGAUACCCGUUUUCGGAAUGGGUGACGUGCGGCAACGAAAUUGCGCGAAAACAACCCAAACAUGAGUUUUGGACCUAAAGUAGUGGAUUGGGCAUGUUCGUUGCGAAAAACGAAGAAAUGGUUCCGGUGGCAAAAACUCGUGCUUUGUAUGCACCCGAUACCCGUUUUCGGAAUGGGUGACGUGCGGCAACGAAAUUGCGCGAAACAACCCAAACAUGAGUUUUGGACCUAAAGUAGUGGAUUGGGCAUGUUCGUUGCGAAAAACGAAGAAAUGGUUCCGGUGGCAAAAACUCGUGCUUUGUAUGCACCCGAUACCCGUUUUCGGAAUGGGUGACGUGCGGCAACGAAAUUGCGCGAAACAACCCAAACAUGAGUUUUGGACCUAAAGUAGUGGAUUGGGCAUGUUCGUUGCGAAAAACGAAGAAAUGGUUCCGGUGGCAAAAACUCGUGCUUUGUAUGCACCCGAUACCCGUUUUCGGAAUGGGUGACGUGCGGCAACGAAAUUGCGCGAAAUCAACCCAAACAUGAGUUUUGGACCUAAAGUAGUGGAUUGGGCAUGUUCGUUGCGAAAAACGAAGAAAUGGUUCCGGUGGCAAAAACUCGUGCUUUGUAUGCACCCGAUACCCGUUUUCGGAAUGGGUGACGUGCGGCAACGAAAUUGCGCGAAAGCAACCCAAACAUGAGUUUUGGACCUAAAGUAGUGGAGUGGGCAUGUUCGUUGCGAAAAACGAAGAAAUGGUUCCGGUGGCAAAAACUCGUGCUUUGUAUGCACCCGAUACCCGUUUUCGGAAUGGGUGACGUGCGGCAACGAAAUUGCGCGAAA